GCAAGGACAUGUGGAGCGCUUAGAAGUGAGAAUGCCGGUGUGAGUAGCGAAAGACGGGUGAGAAUCCCGUCCACCGAUUGACUAAGGUUUCCAGAGGAAGGCUCGUCCGCUCUGGGUUAGUCGGGUCCUAAGCUGAGGCCGACAGGCGUAGGCGAUGGAUAACAGGUUGAUAUUCCUGUACCACCAUUAUUCGUUUUAAGCGAUGGGGGGACGCAGUAGGAUAGGCGAAGCGUGCUGUUGGAGUGCACGUCCAAGCAGUGAGAUUGAGUGUUAGGCAAAUCCGGCACUCUUAAGAUUGAGCUGUGAUGGGGAGAGGAACUUGUUCCUCGAGUCGUUGAUUUCACACUGCCGAGAAAAGCCUCUAGCUAGAAUAACGGUGCCCGUACCGCAAACCGACACAGGUAGUCAAGAUGAGAAUUCUAAGGUGAGCGAGCGAACUCUCGUUAAGGAACUCGGCAAAAUGACCCCGUAACUUCGGGAGAAGGGGUGCUCUUUGAGGUUCACGCUUCGAAGAGCCGCAGUGAAUAGGCCCAAGCGACUGUUUAUCAAAAACACAGGUCUCUGCUAAACCGUAAGGUGACGUAUAGGGGCUGACGCCUGCCCGGUGCUGGAAGGUUAAGAGGAGUGGUUAGCGCAAGCGAAGCUACGAAUCGAAGCCCCAGUAAACGGCGGCCGUAACUAUAACGGUCCUAAGGUAGCGAAAUUCCUUGUCGGGUAAGUUCCGACCCGCACGAAAGGCGUAACGAUUUGGGCACUGUCUCAACGAGAGACUCGGUGAAAUCAUAGUACCGGUGAAGAUGCCGGUUACCCGCGACAGGACGGAAAGACCCCGUGGAGCUUUACUGUAGCCUGAUAUUGAAAUUCGGUACAGUUUGUACAGGAUAGGUAGGAGCCUUAGAAGCGUGAGCGCUAGCUUACGUGGAGGCAUUGGUGGGAUACUACCCUAAUUGUAUUGGAUUUCUAACCCGCAGCACUUAUCGUGCUGGGAGACAGUGUCAGGCGGGCAGUUUGACUGGGGCGGUCGCCUCCUAAAGAGUAACGGAGGCGCUCAAAGGUUCCCUCAGAAUGGUUGGAAAUCAUUCAUAGAGUGUAAAGGCAUAAGGGAGCUUGACUGCGAGACCUACAAGUCGAGCAGGGUCGAAAGACGGACUUAGUGAUCCGGUGGUUCCGCAUGGAAGGGCCAUCGCUCAACGGAUAAAAGCUACCCCGGGGAUAACAGGCUUAUCUCCCCCAAGAGUUCACAUCGACGGGGAGGUUUGGCACCUCGAUGUCGGCUCAUCGCAUCCUGGGGCUGUAGUCGGUCCCAAGGGUUGGGCUGUUCGCCCAUUAAAGCGGUACGCGAGCUGGGUUCAGAACGUCGUGAGACAGUUCGGUCCCUAUCCGUCGUGGGCGUAGGAAAUUUGAGAGGAGCUGUCCUUAGUACGAGAGGACCGGGAUGGACAUACCUCUGGUGUACCAGUUGUCGUGCCAACGGCAUAGCUGGGUAGCUAUGUAUGGACGGGAUAAGUGCUGAAAGCAUCUAAGCAUGAAGCCCCCCUCGAGAUGAGAUUUCCCAACUUCGGUUAUAAGAUCCCUCAAAGAUGAUGAGGUGAAU
rnacentral:rRNA from 1 species